rnacentral:rRNA from 1 species
ACCGGCGCACGGGUGAGUAACACGUAUCCAACCUGCCGUCUACUCUUGGACAGCCUUCUGAAAGGAAGAUUAAUACAAGAUGGCAUCAUGAGUCCGCAUGUUCACAUGAUUAAAGGUAUUCCGGUAGACGAUGGGGAUGCGUUCCAUUAGAUAGUAGGCGGGGUAACGGCCCACCUAGUCUUCGAUGGGUAGGGGUUCUGAGAGGAAGGUCCCCCGCAUUGGAACUGAGACACGGUCCAAACUCCUACGGGAGGCAGCAUG